rnacentral:rRNA from 1 species
UACGGAGGGUGCAAGCGUUAUCCGGAUUUACUGGGUUUAAAGGGUGCGCAGGCGGAUAUGUAAGUCAGUGGUGAAAUCUUCCCGCUUAACGGGAAAACUGCCAUUGAUACUAUAUAUCUUGAAUGCUGUGGAGGUAAGCAGAAUAUGUCAUGUAGCGGUGAAAUGCUUAGAGAUGACAUAGAAUACCUAUUGCGAAGGCAGCUGGCUACACAAAUAUUGACACUGAGGCACGAAAGCGUGGGGAUCAAACAGG